CAAGAGAACCUAGCAUCCCAAUUUCUUUUGGUAUGGACCCUGAAAUUUUAUUGUUAAAAAGGCUAAGAUAAGAUAUGUUGGCCAAAUUUCCAACAGAUGGAGGGAGAGAACCGAUCAGAUUAUUUUCAGCGAGGUCAAGUUCAUUCAAGGACUUCAACAUUCCAAUUUGUUGAGGUAUAGAACCAGAGAGAGCAUUUUUGUACAAGUAAAGAAACAGCAGGUCUGUCAUGUUUCCUAUAGAAGCAGGAAUUUCACCA